CUUCAUGGAGACAUCUCCAGGUCACCACCAAGGUGGGGACAACCCAGCUCAGGGGGGGGUUUGGAGGUCACGGAGGAACGGGGAGAGGUCACAGGAGAUCUGAAGUUCUCAGGUUGAGGUCCCACCACCCACAAUGAGGUCCCACCACCCAAACCUGAAGUUCUUCCACCAAAUUUGAGGUCCCACCACCCAAACCAAGGUCCCACCACCUCCAAUGAGGUCCCACCACCAGAACUUGAGGUCCCACCACCCAAACUUGAGGUCCCACCACCCAAACCAAGGUCCCACCACCGACAAUGAGGUUCCACCAUCCCCAAUGAGGUCCCACGACCCCCAAUGAGAUCCCACCACCCAAACUUGAAGUUCCUCCACCAAAAUGAGGUCCCACCACCCAAACCUGAAGUUCUUCCACCAAAUCUGAGGUCUCACCACCCAAACUUGAGGUUCCUCCACCAAAUCUGAGGUCCCACCACCCCCAAUGAGGUCCCACCACCCAAACCUGAGGUUCCUCCACCAAAUCUGAGGUCCCACCACCUCCAAUGAGGUCCCACCACCCAAACCAAGGUCCCACCAUCCACAAUGAGGUCCCACCACCCAAACCUGA